rnacentral:rRNA from 1 species
CGUAGGUGGCAAGCGUUGUCCGGAUUAUUGGGCGUAAGGGAGCGCAGGUGGUUCUUAAGUCUGAUGUGAAAGCCCACGGCUUAACCGUGGAGGGUCAUUGGAAACUGGGAAACUUGAGUACAGAAGAGGAAUGUGGAACUCCAUGUGUAGCGGUGGAAUGCGUAGAUAUAUGGAAGAACACCAGUGGCGAAGGCGACAUUCUGGUCUGUUACUGACACUGAGGCUCGAAAGCGUGGGAGCAAACAGGAUU